rnacentral:rRNA from 1 species
CAGUAGCCACGGGAAUACGUAGGUGGCAAGCGUUGUCCGGAAUUAUUGGGCGUAAAGGGCUCGCAGGCGGUUUCUUAAGUCUGAUGUGAAGGCCCCCGGCUCAACCGGGGAGGGUCAUUGGAAACUGGGAAACUUGAGUGCAGAGGAGGAGAGUGGAAUUCCACGUGUAGCGGUGAAAUGCGUAGAGAUGUGGAGGAACACCAGUGGCGAAGGCGAUUCUCUGGUCUGUAACUGACGCUGAGGAGCGAAAGCGUGGGGAGCGAACAGGAUUAGAUACCCCAGUAGUCCCUGUCUCUUAUAA